ensembl:lncRNA
UUUCACUAUUCACUCCCAUUAAUGAGAAAGAUGUUGACUAUGACCAUUUUCAGUGCUAAUUUCUUGGAGAUGUCUUUGUUGUCUCUGCUCUGUCUUUAAGAGUGGCUGCUAAAGCCCACAUUUUUCUUCCUCUGUUUCCAGAUCAGAGACUUCUUCCCAGUUGCAGGUGAGCACUCUUUCUUUAAAAAGCUGUUACGCAUCAUUGCAUUUGGAAAUCUGUGCUGAUUAUGUUCACCAAUGCCCUGCUGAGAGAGAGAGGGAUGUGCCACUUCCCAUGUUGCAUCGGACCACCAUGGUCAGCACUGCUAUCUGUAAGGAAUCUGGAGGCUCCCUUCUAUGUGAGGUCUGUGCAGCCCUUUCCAGCAUCAGAAUGUCAAUGCUGCAUUUUGUUCUGCUGAGCUGAAGCACAGUCAAAGCAGCCAGAUGGUGUUCAAAACAGCACCAUCAGAACAACCAAGGUUCCAGGUACCUGUCUGGAAGAGAAGAACAACUACGUUCCCCAAGAGCCUUUUCGAGUACUGUUAUCAUUCCUGCUCAAGGGAACAGAUAUAAGGGCGCAGGUCAUCUGUCUCGGCCGUCUUCUCGUCUCGCCGUGUUCCCUGUUGGAUCGGCUCGCUACUGCUGCUCCCGGCUGUACGCAAGGCUUCAGUAUUAGCGUAAGGCCUUUGGCUCUCGGACAAUCUUUCUUUCAAUUAUUUUUGAUUUAUAUUGUAUUAUAGUGUGUUACCUUACAUUCCGAUACUAUAUUUAGUAAAUUAGUUUGUUUCUCCUCAGAUUGUUGCCGCUGUUUUUAAUUAUUUUGGGGUCCCCUGUUUCCCUUCCUGGAGGCAUGGAUUUUGCGAAAUCCCUCCGCCCCACUAGUCAUGGAACUGGGCCAGACCAGCCCUUAAACCAUUGACAAUUUCCCAGUCAGUCUUAUGUGACUGCAGGGUCCACCCAGGUCCAGCAGAGUAUCUCCGUGAUUAUCCCUUCUAACCAUAUGAUACCUAAGCCAGAAUUCCCAGCCCUGGUGAUGGUAUCUUUGCGUUGCAU